rnacentral:rRNA from 1 species
UACGUAGGUGGCAAGCGUUGUCCGGAAUUACUGGGUGUAAAGGGAGCGCAGGCGGGAAGCCAAGUCAGCUGUGAAAACUACGGGCUUAACUUGUAGACUGCAGUUGAAACUGGUUUUCUUGAGUGAAGUAGAGGUUGGCGGAAUUCCGAGUGUAGCGGUGAAAUGCGUAGAUAUUCGGAGGAACACCGGUGGCGAAGGCGGCCAACUGGGCUUUAACUGACGCCGAGGCUCGAAAGUGUGGGGAGCAAACAGG